rnacentral:rRNA from 1 species
AAUGAACGCUGGCGGCAUGCCUAACACAUGCAAGUCGAACGAAGGCUUCGGCCUUAGUGGCGCACGGGUGCGUAACGCGUGGGAAUCUGCCCUUGGGUUCGGAAUAACUCGCCGAAAGGCGUGCUAAUACCGAAUGAUGACGUAAGUCCAAAGAUUUAUCGCCCAGGGAUGAGCCCGCGUAGGAUUAGCUUGUUGGUGAGGUAAAAGCUCACCAAGGCGACGAUCCUUAGCGGUCUGAGAGGAUGAUCAGCCACACUGGGACUGAGACACGGCCCAGACUCCUACGGGAGGCAGCAGUGGGGAAGUAUUGGACAAUGGGCGAAAGCCUGAUCCAGCAAUGCCGCGUGAGUGAUGAA